CGGCACCUAAGCAAGCGUGUUGCUGCGUUACUCCACUGUAAAAAACACAUUAACAGUAAGCAUUAACUUAACAUCGGACUAACAGAAUACUGUUGAAUAACAUUUAAUGUUAACAGCGCCUUUCUAUGCGAUUCUCAGAGGCGGCAGCUAAGCAAGCGUGUUGCUGCGUUACUCCUCUGUAAUAAAGACAUUAACGGUAAGCAUUAUCUUAACAUCGGACUAACAGAAGACUGUUGAAUAACAUUUCAUGUUAACACCGCCUUUCUAUGCGAUUCUCAUGGGUUGCAGUAGUGGAUAUACCGCCAUGCGGAAGACUACAACGAAAGCCAAAUUCAAUUGUAAAUGCGUGUAGCACACAGCGCCAUUGUCUAUAAGUCGAUAUACAAGCAUAAAUAAAUACUUGUAUAGAGCGCGUGUGCUGUGUGUGUGUGUGUCUGUGUGUGGACUAAGUGUAAGUGAUUAAUUUUUGACAGGCGCAUUUGUUGUGCGGUAUUGAAAACAAUCAAUGCUUCAAUCUACGGACACGCCGCCCCCAUGGAGGGAAUACUCCAGCAAUUGGAGAGCUCUCAGACUAUCGAGCAAAAACAUCAAGAAGAAACCUCAAGUGUAUUGCUUAAGAUUGCUCGAGUUUGUUGGCAGUCAGGCGGCCAGGCAGCCGGGCAGGCAAAUAAAUAAAUAUUUUGCAUAUCAAAUGGUAA